AGUGAACGCUGGCGGCAGGCUUAACACAUGCAAGUCGAGCGGGCGCUUUCGGUAGACAGCGUCGUACGGGUUAGUAGCGCGUGGGAACGUGCCCUCUGGGUCGUAAUAGCUCAGGGAAACUGGAGGUAAUACCGGAUACGCCCGCGUGGGGAAAUGCUUGAUGCCGGGGGAUCGGCCCGCGUCUGAUUAGCUAGUUGGUGAGGUAACGGCUCACCAAGACGACGAUCAGUAGCUGGUCUGAGAGGAUGAUCAGUCACACUGGGACUGAGACACGGCCCAGACUCCUACGGGAGGCAGCAGUGGGGAAUCUUGGACAAUGGGCGAAAGCCUGAUGCAGCCAUGCCGCGUGAAUGAUGAAGGCCUUAGGGUUGUAAAGCUCUUUUAUCCGGGACGAUAAUGACGGUACCGGAGGAAUAAGCCUCGGCUAACUUCGUG
rnacentral:rRNA from 1 species